rnacentral:misc_RNA from 1 species
GUUAAGCGUACAUUAAGGAAAAUGAUGAUUGCUUUAGAGGAAGAAAGUUGGCUUUGUCAAAUGCCACCUCCUCAGUCCACACCUCAAGCAGUAACCUUUAUUGAUGAAUUACAAGAGGACCAACCUUAGCCCUCACAUAGAGCAGGACGACGUCGAUCACGUCCUGCUCGAGGUCGUCAACACCUAGUGCGUCGAGGCUCUCCACCCGAUGUUGUUUUGCCCCCACCUGUCGCAUUUCACCCUUACUGCAUGACAUCAGCGCUUGAUCCUUCUGAUCCUAUUCCCUCAACUCUUGCACCUUCUGAUCCGGGACCAUCCACAAUAUUCCAACCUUAUUAAGAAUCUAUCCUCCCUCAUUACACUGGUUGGAUGCCUUUUGACUAUACUGAGAGUCAGCAGUCGCAAACAUCAUUCAGCGGCUUAUUUGCUCCUUUUGGCAGACCAUCUACCAUUAAGCCAUCACACUAUAGUUCUAAUCAAUUUGGUGGAUAUAGUUCAGAUCAAUACUUUGCACCAUAUCAGUCUGGUGCCUUACGCCAUAUUCCAUCUGGUGCGGGUCUAUUUGGACACCACAAACAAAGUGUUGUACAUUAU